UAACAUGACGAGUGAGGAGCGCUAUAUCUUCUUCACCAAGUGCAGAAUUAACCGUCUGAGUACUUUAUCACUUUGAAGUGAAGCGCAACCUGAUUU
rnacentral:ncRNA from 2 species